AAAGACGGUCUUGCUGUCACUUAUAGAUGGAUCCGCGCUGCAUUAGCUAGUUGGUAAGGUAACGGCUUACCAAGGCAACGAUGCAUAGCCGACCUGAGAGGGAGAUCGGCCACACUGGAACUGAGACACGGUCCAGACUCCUACGGGAGGCAGCAGUAGGGAAUCUUCCGCAAUGGGCGAAAGCCUGACGGAGCAACGCCGCGUGAGUGAUGAAGGUCUUCGGAUCGUAAAACUCUGUUAUUAGGGAAGAACAUAUGUGUAAGUAACUGUGCACAUCUUGACGGUACCUAAUCAGAAAGCCACGGCUAACUACGUGCCAGCAGCCGCGGUAAUACGUAGGUGGCAAGCGUUAUCCGGAAUUAUUGGGCGUAAAGCGCGCGUAGGCGGUUUUUUAAGUCUGAUGUGAAAGCCCACGGCUCAACCGUGGAGGGUCAUUGGAAACUGGAAAACUUGAGUGCAGAAGAGGAAAGUGGAAUUCCAUGUGUAGCG
rnacentral:rRNA from 1 species